rnacentral:rRNA from 1 species
UACGUAGGGGGCGAGCGUUGUCCGGAAUCAUUGGGCGUAAAGCGCGCGUAGGUGGCUUCGUAAGUCCGUUGUGAAAGUCAAAGGCUCAACCUUUGAAAGCCGAUGGAUACUGCGGAGCUAGAGUACGGAAGAGGCGAGUGGAAUUCCUGGUGUAGCGGUGGAAUGCGCAGAUAUCAGGAGGAACACCAAUAGCGAAGGCAGCUCGCUGGGACGUUACUGACACUGAGGCGCGAAAGCGUGGGGAGCGAACAGG